rnacentral:rRNA from 1 species
GGGGUGCUCGAGUGGCGAACGGGUGAGUAACACGUGAGUAACCUGCCCUUGACUUUGGGAUAACUUCAGGAAACUGGGGCUAAUACCGGAUAGGAGCUCCUGCUGCAUGGUGGGGGUUGGAAAGUUUCGGCGGUCGGGGAUGGACUCGCGGCUUAUCAGCUUGUUGGUGGGGUAGUGGCUUACCAAGGCUUUGGCGGGUAGCCGGCCUGAGAGGGUGACCGGCCACAUUGGAACUGAGAUACGGCCCAG